CCUAAUGAGGUGUAGUGGUCAAGCAUUCCGACAUGACAAGGAGGAGACCCUGGUUCGAAUCCUGGCAUUAGGA